AUGCAAACGCGGGGACGAGGCCCUGGAGGUGGCCGUGCUGGGCCCGGGCCGCUCAGCCGCUCAGCCGGGCAGCCCCGCCGCUCCCAGGGCGCGACCCGAGGGGCCAGGAGGAGCCGCGCCGCGGGGGGGGGCCCGGGGGGGGGAGGGGGCGGGGGGCAGGGGGCGGGGCUCCCCGCGUGCGGCACCUGCGACCUCGGGGGGGGCGGGGGGGAUCGGGACGCGCAGCCACGGCCCUCCCCGCCGCCCCGCCGAGAGCUCUGGGGCCCCGCCCGGCGCGGGUUCGGGGCUGGGGGCGGGGCGGUCCUGCAGGAGGCCGGGCGGGGCGCGGCUGCACGGCCCGGAUGCGGGGGCCCCAGGGGCAGCGCCGCCGCGGGGAGGAGCCGGCGGGCGGUGAGCGCGCGGGGCCGGGGGGGGCGGGGGGGCCCGGGGGCGACCCCUCGGCGGGGUGGGGGGGCGGGGUCGCGGGGACCGGGCCGGGCCGGGCCGACGCUCCGCGGGGGGGUGGUCCCCGGCCCCGACCCGGUGGGGCCCCGCGGGCGGGCGUCGCUCUGUGCCCCCCGGAGGCCCCGGCGCCAUCCACGCGGCCGAGGCGGAGCCGGAGAGGCCAGGGCAGGGGCGCGCAGGGGUGCGCAGGGGCGCGCAGCCAACCACCCAGGAGCCGGGCGGGGGGCGGGGCGGGGGCUCCCGGGACCCGGCCGAGGUCGGCAGCGCAGCCCCCCGCGGGGCGCAGGCCCAGGGCGGGGGCGGGGGAGGGGGCGGGGCCGCCGCGCUGGGCCCGGGGUCAGCCCCAAGGUCACCGGGGCAGGCCUGCGCCGAGCCCCCUGGACGCCGCCUCCUGCUCUCCUGCUCCCGCGGGGCCGCCCGUUCCGGGCCCCUCGCCCCCCGGCGCCCCCCCAGGGUCCGUGUCCGCGCGUCAGGGCCUCGGAGGAAGAGGCUCCCCGCCCCCCGCCCCCGCUCCCCGCCCCCCGCUCCGGGGCCGGCGGCAGGUCGGCGGCAGGUCCUGGGGCGCAGCUGACGCGACUGGCCUAG
rnacentral:lncRNA from 1 species